rnacentral:lncRNA from 1 species
AACAACUGCCCUUUUAAAGUCACGUCUUGUCAUCUGAACCGUCACAACCAUUGGAAAUAGUAGAUAAGCUCAAAUCUCAUCAAAUCUUUAAUCUUCAGCUACAAGUUUUCAGAAGAGCCAUUUCUUUUACUCUAAUCUGGUUCUCUUUGCUUUUUCCUCUCCACUGCUCUUCGAACACUCUCUGGGAUGCUGCCCUCCAGGUAAUGACUUUCAUUUCUCUCUAAUACUUAUCCAGCAAAAGUAUAAGCAAAGAGAUUUUCUGAUUUUGGAAUGAAAUGAAAAUCCAUAUUUUGAAAAUGUAUUUUUAAAUUUUGGAUAUCUCUGAUGACUGCUCCGACGAUCGAUCUAUCAUAAUAUGUACUCUGGCAUUUUUUAAUAACUGUUCUAGAGUCACCCAAGAUAAUGCAUGUUGUUAGGCCCAUGGAAAUACUUAACCUUAUUACCUCUAAACCUGCAAGAGCCUCCGCCGCAAACGGUGAUGCAACGUCGACAUGGAGUACCGAUUUGUAAGCCAAUAUUUCCCCAUCCAUCGCUUGGACUAUCAACCCCGUAGCUGAUCUGAAAGACUGCUGGUCAAAAGCUGCAUUAAAAUAAAUAACUGGGCACGUUCUCUGAUCAACCUGUUAAAGAACUCUAUCAGAAUCUAAGCUAAGUUUUUUCUCUACUCCUUACAACUCUGAAACGCAGCUAACUAUUUGAUUGGAAAUUUCAGUGCUUGUUGUGUUUCUAUUUUCAUAAAGGAGUUUAUUUCGACUUGUCCAGAUAAUCCAUAACCCACGGCAGAAAAGACGACACUGUUCACUUGUCCCCUUGUUGAAAACCCAGGUAAGCCACUCCCAUAUGCCUUCACUGUUGCUAUUAAGCACCCAAGAACACUGUAAAUUUCUCCAUACUUCCUUUGUUGUAGGGCACUACCAGAAAAUAUGGAAACUGUCUUCUUCAGUAAGACGACACCUGGGACAAUGAGUUUCAACGACUACUCGUUUAGUUUUAAGAUUCGCAAAAGUAGGAAUAUAGUUCCAGGCAACUUUCCAAACUGUAAUUUUGAUCUUUGAAGGAAUAUGUAGAUUCCAUAAUUUCCUGUAAAAUUUUUUAUUCUCGGCCUGUAAAUUAUAACUACUAGGAUCCAGUGUAGUCUGUUAUAAUAGUUUGUAGGCGCUCCUAAUAGAGAAAAUUCCAGAUGGUUCCCCCCAUAAUUGGAAAUCAUCGUGCUCUGUCCUUGCCAAAGGGAUCUGCUUGCUUUUUUUUAACAAUAUCUGCAUUGAGUAAGCUGGAAUAGAUUGAAGGACUGCCUUAAUAAAAACCUCCUUUCCUCCCUGCGAAAGAUGUUUUAUACUCCAAUUAUCUAUUUGUUGCUGUAACCUAUCCUUCAGGCUUUCCUCUUUCCUCUUUCUACCCACCAAAUUAGGUAAACCUAGAUAUUGUUCUGAAUCGUUCGAGCUGAUUUGGGGACAAAUUUAAAACAGAGGUUAAGUUCUAAUUUUGGAGUUUCUAGUAUAC